rnacentral:lncRNA from 1 species
GAUAGUCUGUCUUCCAAAAUCCCUAACCCUAUCGUGCUUUCCUCUCUUUUUUUCCCAAUUCCAAAAUCAAGUUGUCUGCCUGUCUACACCAAAUCACCGAUCCACCUCCACCGUCAAGACCUCCACCGAUCCACCUCCGUCCUCCACCCAAUUCCAGAAUCAAGCAUUUAAGGGUUUGUUUAUUCCCGAAUCGCCAACAAAAUCGUAUUUAAGGUAAACCGUUUGUUUAUUCUUUAAUGUUCAAUUGUUCAUAACUUCAUAUGAAUUUUUAUGUUAAUUAUUUUGAUUUUUGGGUAAUAAUGUUGCUAAUUUUAUUCGUUAAUGUCUGUGGAAAGAAAUCUCUCUAGAUAUUAUAUAUGUUAAAAGUUGCGUGAUCCUCAUAAGCGUUUUCAACAAACAUAAUAGCCCCUAUAAGUAAAUACAAAUGCUAAAUGAUACCUGAAUGAAAGAAGUGUAGGAUCUUAUGAGAAUAUCAGAGAACUGAUCGGGUGUAUAGAUUCUGUUAACUAGAGGAUUGAUGUAGUAGUUCUAAAUAUAAUCACUGCUUCCUGCACUCAUAAGAUGUAUGGCACCAGAGAUUAUGCUGUUGGCUCCAUUAGUAGAGAUAUUUGAACCUUGUCUGUUUCAACUGGAUUCUUCUCAUUUUCUUCAAUGGAAUCCAAACCCAAAUCUUCAUUUCUAUUUGAAUAUGUUUUUGCAGUCCUUUUAUGAACUUGAGAUCUUUGCUUCCUCAUAAGAAUUGGUUUUUCUCAUUUCCAUCAGAUCUUCCUUUCUUAACGGAACCGGACUCUUCUUCUUAAUCCCAUUAUCAACAACAGCCAAGCUCAAAUCUUUACAAUGUUCCAUGGAUCUUCCUUUAGCUACUACCUUAUUUGGGUUCUUCUUGAAGCCAUCAAAGCUUUCAUUUUUCCAAGUCUUUCUCUUGCUACCACCGACACUUUGUCAUUUCUACAAUCUUUUAUCACCAUCACUAUUGAUGUUUUCUUGUUCUUCAUCUUCAUCUUCUCCAUUGAAAACCUUGAUUCCACCUCUAAAUUCAUCGCUCUUCAUUCUAGUUUCCCAUACCGGCCCAGCUGCAACAACAUUGCUUUUAACACCUAGUCUUCUGUAACUCAAAUCCAUCCUUUUUCUUUCCAGUUUAUUACCUUUUCUGCUUAUUUCAUAAUUUAAGCCAUAAUCUUGAUUUGGAAUUUCAGUUGAGUUAGCAUGUGUUGGCAAUACACAUGUUCUAAUUUAUGCAGUUUGAAUUUCAUUCAAGGUAAAGAAGUUUGUCUAUGUGUUCUUAGCAGAUUUUAAUUUACUAUAUUUUCGUUGUAUUUUGCUUAAUUUAUGCGUUUGAAUUUUUUAAGAAAUCAUUAACAAUGGAUCCC